rnacentral:pre_miRNA from 14 species
UAAUUUAGAACAAAAGCUUGUUUGACCUUGGAAACCAAGAGUGGGUUGGGCCUGUUAGAUCACAUAGGCGACCCAUACUUGGUUUCAAGGGUUAGCAGGAAUAUCAAAAGCAGGCCUG